CGUGUCGUGAGAUGUUCGUUAGUCGCUACGAGCGCAACCCUCGCUGUGUGUUACAAGUGUCACACGGAACUGCCGGUCAUAAACCGGAGGAAGGUGGGGAUGACGUCAAGUCAGCAUGGCCUUUAUAUCCUGGGCUACACACACGCUACAAUGGGAAGGGACAAUAGGUUGCGAAGCCGCGAGGCGGAGCCAAUCCAGCAAAACUUCCCUCAGUUCAGAUUGCAGGCUGCAACUCGCCUGCAUGAAGUUGGAGUUGCUAGUAAACGCAGGUCAGCCAUACUGCGUUGAAUACGUUCCCGGGGCUU
rnacentral:rRNA from 1 species